rnacentral:lncRNA from 1 species
GUGCGGCACCCAGAGGCCGUCCUGUAGCCGGGCCGGCUUGGGGCUUGGUUCUAUGUCCCUGCGGGUCGGUGCAAGGGCGAAGAGGAACCCGUGGGCCUCAGGGGAUCCCGGGGGGCCGGACCAGUGUUCCCUAGUUGUGGGAGCAGACGCGUGGGCACAUUGCGGGCGGGCAGGGCCUGAAGUGCAGCUAUGUUUCCAGUGUCCUCUGGGUGUUUCCAAGAGCAACAAGAAAUGAAUAAAUCUCUGUUGAAGAGAUACCAUUUGACAUUUUAGAGAUGGCUGCAUGCAAACUCUUGAAACAUUUGACCACCCUCCAGGGUGCCCCGACUCACUUUCCCUGCAGAUGGAGGCAAGGAGGCUCCACAGACAACCCCC